GACGAACGCUGGCGGCGCGCUUAACACAUGCAAGUCGAACGGAAAGGCCUGCUUUCCCUUGUGGAUUGCGGGUACUCGAGUGGCGAACGGGUGAGUAACACGUGAGUGAUCUGCCCCCAACUUGGGUAUAAGCCUGGGAAACUGGGUCUAAUUCCCGAUAGGACCGCAGGGUGGUGCCUGUGGUGGCAGACGAUUUUCUAGUGGUUGGGGAUGAGCUGGUGGCUUAUCAGCUUGUUGGUGGGGUAAUGGCCUACCAAGGCGGCGACGGGUAGCCGGCCUGGGAGGGUGGACGGCCACAGUGGGACUGAGACACGGCCCAGACGCCUACGGGAGGCAGCAGUGGGGAAUAAUGCACAAUGGGCGGAAGCCUGAUGCAGCGACGCCGCGUGGGGGAUGACGGCCUUGGGGUUGUAAACUCCUUUCGACCGCGAGGAAGCCACCUGGUUGGAAGGGUGGUGACGGUAGUGGUAGAAGAAGCACCGGCUAACUACGUG
rnacentral:rRNA from 1 species